AAGUCUGGAAGCUACCAAUGCUGUGAAGCCACGGGGUUCCUUGGGUGGUGAAUGAGCUCGACACAGCGCCUAGUGGUCCUUGAACUGUAUCGGAAGCUACUCCGGGCGGCAAGUCACUAUCCCUCCAUCCGACGCCAGGCUGUAUACCAAGCUAUAAGGGAGGAGUUUCGGCGAAACCGUCACCUAGACCCAAAGGCAACCGAAGAGCAGCUUCGACUCGCGGUAUGCGAGCUCCAAAGGCUCUCAGUCUGGCGUGGAACUCGCGACGCCGAGGACCCCUCAAAACCUAGCAAGCAGAAAGACUGGUUCGUUCAACUGUGAGUGAGCAGGCAUAAUAGACCUGGCUCUCUUGCGGAAACUUUCCUCGGUACGGGACGUUGCCCUGGAGGUUUAACGCAGCACGAGCACUGGGCACAAGUAUGGAAUGCGUCUUUACAGCGGCUCGCUUUCCCGUGUCGAGCGGGCAGGCGGGAAAAAAGCCGUUCGCACUUGCACGAAAAGCGUGUGUGUAGCGGCUUGCUUUCGUAUUCCAGACCGACGGUUGGAAAAAGUAGCCAAUCGCAGAAACACGGAAAAGCGUUUGAAUAGCGGCUCGCUUUACGAUAUCAGUUAAAGAGUCCGUCACGCUGACAGACAAUAGAGUAGCCAGUGGAGCUUGCACUGAACCGACGAAUACCCGAGUGCUUGGUUUCACCGAGCGCAUUGCGACUGCAAACCGCUAUCUCUCCCGUCCGAAUCUAUCCACGGAAAGCGCUAGCCUUGGCAUCUUCAGCAGGGAUAUUCAACCAACAGCGGAUAGCGAGUUGCUUUCAGCUCAAGAAAGCUAUGAUGGAAGCAUCUGGAACUAUUGGCUAUCCCUUGGCAAGUUUUACCAUCAUCACCGCUGACGAGCAUCGGCGAGCGCGCUUUAACGAGUUCGAGCAAGCGCCAGUGCUUCCGAUCCAGGAGCUCAAGGCAUACGCAGCUCUCCAGAGCUGAACCAGUUAUCAAAAGAAGCAGGUCGUCAUGUAGAAGAAAAUUUCGUAUCGGAUGUAGACGCUUCGUCACACACAGGCACGGUGGCGUCAAUGUAUGCUCGGAGCAAGCUUUGCACUCUUGCAUGCCCUGAAUACAACAGCGACGACGAUAACGACGAGGAAUGGAGCCAGAUGCUGUGUGCCUCUGCUGAUGAUUUGCAGUAUUAGCAAAUAUAGCAGAUACAAACGCCUCGGUCGUUGCAUUCAGAUACCCGGAAGAAUAUGCAGCAUAUCCGCUGUGUUCAUCUUCUCGCGACGCGGUUGCGCCGUCGCGAGAACCCGCCGUACACCGUGGGAUACGCGGUCGCCUCGCGCCGCACCGGGACAGCAGCGCACAUACCUUCAACGGUAUAAUGCGUCUCAGAAAGAGGCGAUAUAAUCGAAAUUUCGAGCGAUGCCGGGUACCUCUGAAGCAUGCGAUAUAUUCGGAAGACUUAGGGAAAGAGGCGGUCGAGGAUCUCCUGAGCGUUGGACAUGCGUCCGCCGGGAUUCUGGCGCAUGUACUCUUGCAGAAUGAAGAUGGCUCCUGCGCGCGUCACGUCAGUAAACUCCA
rnacentral:misc_RNA from 1 species